AAAAGUCUGGUCACCAGAUGGGUGUUCUAGAAACCGCUUCUCUCAUCUCUGAACAAUCCCACAGGAAUUGUAGGAGCUGACAUUAACCUACAAUGUCCCUGAUUGCCUCUUCAGUGAGGAUUUCCACUUCAACUCCCCCAGAUCCUUUCUCCCCUCCUACCCCCAAUCCUGGAGACGGGCUGUGUUUUCAGAUACCCGGGAAGGUCUUGCCCUAGCUUCUUCAGCUCUGAGGCUGUAGCUGGGUUCCUGCCUGACACACCAGACACAUGGACUAGCCUGAACAGAUUUCCUGCCUAACCAGCUAAGCUUUAAAAAUGACCUUGGGAACUGUUCUGGGCAUUCUUGCAGAGCCGUCUCGGCUUGAGAGAAGCAGCUGUGCUUUCUCCAUGUCCAGGGCCCCAGCCCCAACACGUCAGGGCUGCAAUCAACCAUUGGAGCACACAGGCAGACCUGGGUCCAGUCUGGUCACUAGUUAGCUGUGUUACCCUGGGCAAGUCACCCCUUCAGGGCCUCAGUUUCCUCUGUAAAUAAGACUAGUAACCCAAUGAAGAUGUUGGGAAGAUUUUAAUGAGAUAAUACGUCCACGUACAUGUAAAGGGCCUAGCACAUAUUAGGAGCUCGAGGGUGGCGCCUUGCCUUUUUCCUUGUUCUGAACUGGAAAUGAAGCCACGGAAAAGAAGGGAGGUGCCGCAAAACGACGUCAGGUCCCAGAAGAUGUCAAAGCUCCUCUCCAGCUCAACCCUCCGCGGUGCCUGGACCCCUACCCGUCAAAACUUCUCCCGAGCCCUGUUGUUCCAGUGUCCUCCGCUAGGGGGGGAAAAGAAGGGACAACCUGACUGCCUUAAGAGUAUUUCUUCCCGAUCGAGGAUGCGCUCGACUUCCAAAGAAAGGGACGAGAAGGAACAUUAAUGGAGCAUCUUCUGCCGUUGGGACUGUGCAGGGGAAGUGGACCAACCUUAGGAGCAAGGAUGCCCUCCAUACUAGAGGAGGCUUUGGAAGUGGAGCUCUGGAGCUGUGGAGAGGCAGAACGCUAGAAAGGCUGCACCGAGAGGCAAGACCACAAGAAAGGAUCUAGCAGCGUGCUGUGAGCGGUUACUGUUAGAAGAAUUUCCAGACACAACCUGCACACUGAAGUUUGCC
rnacentral:lncRNA from 1 species